GAUAAACGCUGGCGGCGUGCUUAUCACAUGCAAGUCGAACGAAGUUUUUCCUUCGGGAGAAACUUAGUGGCGGACGGGUGAGUAACGCGUGGGUAACCUGCCCUGUACAGGGGGACAACAGCUGGAAACGGCUGCUAAUACCGCAUAAGCACUUAGCACUGCAUGGUGCAUAGGGAAUAGGAGCAAUCCGGUACAGGAUGGACCCGCGUCUGAUUAGCCAGUUGGCAGGGUAACGGCCUACCAAAGCGACGAUCAGUAGCCGAUCUGAGAGGAUGUACGGCCACAUUGGGACUGAGACACGGCCCAGACUCCUACGGGAGGCAGCAGUGGGGAAUAUUGCACAAUGGAGGAAACUCUGAUGCAGCGACGCCGCGUGAGUGAAGAAGUAUUUCGGUAUGUAAAGCUCUAUCAGCAGGGAAGAAAAUGACGGUACCUGACUAAGAAGCACCGGCUAAAUACGUG
rnacentral:rRNA from 1 species